rnacentral:snoRNA from 1 species
CAGCUAAGCCAGCCAGUUUGUUUACCUGAACAUUUCUGCAGACAUUUAGAAAAAGUUUGCCAUGGUGAUGCUACAUUACAAAGUCUUUUAAGACUUUAAAGACAAGUCUUUUAAGAUCCCUGAAAAUGGCUACAAUA